AGGACGAACGCUGGCGGCGUGCCUAACACAUGCAAGUCGAGCGGGGACAUACGACGGAUAGGAAGUUUCGGAUGGAAUUGAAGAUGUAUUGUUCUAGCGGCGGACGGGUGAGUAACGCGUGAGCAACCUGUCCCUUACAGGGGGAUAACACAGCGAAAGUUGUACUAAUACCGCAUAAGACCACGGGGAGACAUCUUCCAGGGGUCAAAGGAGUAAUCCGGUAAGGGGUGGGCUCGCGUCCGAUUAGAUAGUUGGUGAGGUAACGGCCCACCAAGUCGACGAUCGGUAGCCGACCUGAGAGGGUGAUCGGCCACAUUGGGACUGAGACACGGCCCAAACUCCUACGGGAGGCAGCAGUGGGGAAUAUUGGGCAAAUGGGGGAAACCCUGACCCAGCAACGCCGCGUGAGGGAAGAAGGUUUUCGGAUCGUAAACCUCUGUCCUUGGUGAAGAGGAAGAGACGGUAGCCAAGGAGGAAGCCCCGGCUAACUACGUGCCAGCCGCGGC
rnacentral:rRNA from 1 species